rnacentral:rRNA from 1 species
AUUGAACGCUGGCGGCAGGCCUAACACAUGCAAGUCGAACGAGUGGCGGACGGGUGAGUAAUGUAUGGGAAACUGCCCGAGGGAGGGGGAUAACUACUGGAAACGGUAGAUAAUACCGCAUACCAUCGGAUGUGCCAAGAUGGGAUUAGCUAGGAGGUGGGGUAACGGCUCACCUAGGCGACGAUCCCUAGCAGGUCUGAGAGGAUGACCCGCCACACUGGAACUGAGACACUGUCCAGACGCCUACGGGAGGCAGCAGUGGGGAAUAUUGCACAAUGGGCGCAAGCCUGAUGCAGCCAUGCCGCGUGUAUGAAGAAGUCCUUCGGGUUGUAAAGUGCUUUCAGCGAGGAGGCGUUACUCGCAGAAGAAGCAUCGGCUAACUCCGUGCCAGCAGCCGCGGUAAUUC